rnacentral:rRNA from 1 species
GAUGAACGCUGGCGGCGUGCCUAAUACAUGCAAGUCGAACGCACAGCGAAAGGUGCUUGCACCUUUCAAGUGAGUGGCGAACGGGUGAGUAACACGUGGACAACCUGCCUCAAGGCUGGGGAUAACAUUUGGAAACAGAUGCUAAUACCGAAUAAAACUCAGUGUCGCAUGACACAAAGUUAAAAGGCGCUUUGGCGUCACCUAGAGAUGGAUCCGCGGCGCAUUAGUUAGUUGGUGGGGUAAAGGCCUACCAAGACAAUGAUGCAUAGCCGAGUUGAGGGACUGAUCGGACACAUUGGGACUGAGACACGGCCCAAACUCCUACGGGAGGCUGCAGUAGGGAAUCUUCCACAAUGGGCGAAAGCCUGAUGGAGCAACGCCGCGUGUGUGAUGAAGGCUUUCGGGUCGUAAAGCACUGUUGUAUGGGAAGAACAGCUAGAAUAGGGAAUGAUUUUAGUUUGACGGUACCAUACCAGAAAGGGACGGCUAAAUACGUGCCAGCCGCCGCCGUAA